GGGUCAUUAGGUUGGUCGUGCCACCGGUACGUACUGGUCUCACUGAUUCCUCCUUCCUGAAGAACCGUAAUGCCAUUAAUUUGGUGUUGCGGGGAAACAGGACUGUUACUUUGAAAAAAUUAGUGUGUUUAAAGCAAGCUAACGCUUGAAUACAUUAGCAUGGAAUAAUGAAAUAGGACGAUCGAUCCUAUUUUGUUGGUUUCUAGGAUUGACGUA
rnacentral:rRNA from 1 species